UUCAAAAUAUUUUUUUCUUUUUUGUAGCGGACUUUCACAGCAACCCUGAUGUACUUGAUUCAGCAGUCCACAUUUCCCUCCUUCCCAGGUCCUGUGCCUUCUGUGAUCCUAGACUGGCUAUCUAGUUUCUGCUGCUCUCUGACCUCUGCUCAGAUAAAAGGCAGAGUGGGAAAUGUGGACCGCAGGAAGGAGACAAGUAACAUCUCUGAGCCUAGAAGCAAAACAGUGACUCUGGCUUGCCCUGUGGCAGCAGAAGCAGGAAGAGCUUCGAAACACACCUGUAAAUGAUUCCUCGUUUAUGAAGAAAGAACAGUCCAAUAGAGAUCUCGGCUGCGUAGAAUCUGCAAAAGAAAGCGUGCUUCA